rnacentral:rRNA from 1 species
UGGUGACUAUAGCAAGGAGGUCACACCUGUUCCCAUGCCGAACACAGAAGUUAAGCUCCUUAGCGUCGAUGGUAGUCGAACUUGAUGCGAUGAGCCGCAUUGAGACCGCAAGGUCUCUUUUU